AGAGUUUGAUCAUGGCUCAGAAUGAACGUUGGCGGCGUGGAUUAGGCAUGCAAGUCGAGCGGCAGCAGGCCCGCAAGGACGCUGGCGAGCGGCGUAAGGGAGAGUAACACGCGGGUACCUACCCUCGGGACCGGGAUAGCUGCGGGAAACUGCAAUUAAUACCGGAUAAUGUCCCAGGACCAAAGGUGUGAUUCCGCCUGAGGAGGGGCCCACGUCCUAUCAGCUAGUUGGUGAGGUAAUGGCUCACAAAGGCUACGACGGGUACGGGGUGUGAGAGCAUGCCCCCGCUCACUGGGACUGAGACACUGCCCAGACACCUACGGGUGGCUGCAGUCGAGAAUCUUCCGCAAUGGGCGAAAGCCUGACGGAGCGACGCCGCGUGCGGGAUGAAGGCCUUCGGGUUGUAAACCGCUGUCAGAGGGGAACGAGUCCAUGGUGGUUCUCUGCCAUGGUUGAGUGAUCCUCAGAGGAAGCGCAGGCUAAGUCCGUGCCAGCAGCCGCGGUAACACGGACUGCGCGAACGUUAUUCGGAAUCAUUGGGCUUAAAGCGUCCGUAGGCGGCCGUGCAGGUGAGGUGUGAAAUCCCUCGGCUUAACCGAGGAAUUGCGCUUCAAACCGCACGGCUCGAGAAAGAUAGAGGUGAGCGGAACUCACGGUGGAGCGGUGAAAUGCGUUGAUAUCGUGAGGAACACCGGUGGCGAAAGCGGCUCACUGGGUCUUUUCUGACGCUGAGGGACGAAAGCUAGGGGAGCGAACGGGAUUAGAUACC
rnacentral:rRNA from 1 species